GACGAACGCUGGCGGCAUGCCUAAUACAUGCAAGUCGAGCGAACAGAUGAAGUGCUUGCACUUCUGACGUUAGCGGCGAACGGGUGAGUAACACGUAAGGAAUCUACCUAUAAGCGGGGGAUAACAUUCGGAAACGGGUGCUAAUACCGCGUAAUAUCUUCUUCCGCAUGGAAGAAGAUUGAAAGACGGCUCUGCUGUCACUUAUAGAUGACCUUGCGGUGCAUUAGUUAGUUGGUGGGGUAAUGGCCUACCAAGACGAUGAUGCAUAGCCGAACUGAGAGGGUGAUCGGCCACAUUGGGACUGAGACACGGCCCAAACUCCUACGGGAGGCAGCAGUAGGGAAUCUUCCGCAAUGGGCGAAAGCCUGACGGAGCAAUGCCGCGUGAGUGAAGAAGGCCUUCGGGUCGUAAAACUCUGUUAUAAGAGAAGAACAAAUUGUAGAGUAACUGCUACAGUCUUGACGGUAUCUUAUCAGAAAGCCACGGCUAACUACGUGCCAGCAGCCGCCGUAA
rnacentral:rRNA from 1 species